UUGGUCCAUGCCGGCUAACACAUAAGAAACAACGAGGAUAUGGCAGGUCCUCUCUUCUUCCCCGCGACCGGCAGGUCCCCUUCUUCCCCGUGACCAGUGGUCUCCUUUCUUCCCUACGGCGGCCCGCGGCCCCUUCUUCCCCAUGGCCGGCGGCUCCCCUGCUUCCCUCUGCGGCCUAUGCACUUUCUCCGGCAACGCCUCCGCGUCCAUGCAGCACAACGCCCAGGCCGUGAUUGUCAGCUGCAUCUUAUCGAGUAGGUCGCCCGCCUGCUGCUCUUACUUUGUUGUGCUCUCGUGCGCAGCAGCUACUGCUUUUCUCUCUAUUUGAGCCUGCUUCUCCAGUUAUGCUGCUAGGUGAUGCUCCUGUUCCUAUAAUAUAUAUUGCUCAGCAGCAGCAGUGUAAGUGGCUUCCCUUGGAAGUACAAGGAAAACAGAUGAGAAAUCGUCCACUCUUCUCCUUUGAUUCUACAUCCACAGCAGUGCAAGCGUGUCAAUGCAGGAAGACUGAAGAAAUGCGCAGGCGUCCUUCUCUCAGUCUUUUGGUGCAGCCACGGUAGAAAUCCUUGUCCUGGAUGGACAGGUACUGGGAUGCAGUAGAAGCAGAGGGGAGCAGGGACGGAGCUAAGGGGGGACAGAAAGCUAAAACCAAGCAGUAAAGCCCAUCAUGGAAGAGAAAGGGGCUAGGAUGGCAGCGAUCUAGUUACCACUUACCAGCGACAGAACGCAUCCCUUCGACGUUUCGUUUCUGCUGCAUUUGGCGGCUGACGACGCAGACAAUUUGAUAUCCUAUGACAGUGAGAAUUCCAUAAAAUGAACUAUGAUGGUGAGAACUGAGAAGAGAGCAGCGAGUUGUGAUCCACAGCUGCAAGGCCGGCCGGCCACGAGAUCAGUAUGAGCGGCAUUGAGGAGACAAGGAAAAGGAGCUUGACAUGCCGUCGCAGCAGCCAGCUGAUGGAAGCCAAUGGGUAACUGGUACACGCCGACGAGCCAGCCGGAGGAUGUCCUCUAGCAGCUGGAGUGCGGAGCCAACAGGAGGAUGCACAAGGCUGCUGCCCUGGGUAAAGCUUUGCUGAACCACGACGAGCGCCUUGUCGCAGCAAUACAGUGAAGUUCCACCUCCUGCUGCUAUAACAUGAUGCAAAAGAAAAGCUCAUUGGCUGUGUUCUGACUUGCUUGUUUGGAUUGAUUUGUUGUUGCUGCAAUACUUGAAUGAAGGUCCUAGUUUCAGUUAAAAACAUGUGUCUAGCUUGAGCUUGGAUAACGUUGUGUUGUGAAUCAAAUCCCAUCUGU